GUAAUAGCGGGAUUGUGAUAAGUGUCAACGUUGUCUGAAGUGGUGUAAGGUGCUCCGUAUCAGUCGAAAGGAGGAAGAGGAAAAAUCGUGCCAUCUUUAGCAGAGUACUGGAUGCCAUACAAACAUAGGGGCAGGCCUAUCUGGAUGACCGCAAUCAACCACCCCGAGCUGUAUCCCUUCCCUCUUCCUGAAUAAUUCUUCACUCCAUUGGACAUACUAAACCUUGAGGAUGGUGUGGCACAUCCUUAAACUUAGUCGUCCCACAUGUUUGUCGUGCAUGACUUCCCAGUAAGACUGGAAGACGGGACUUCCAAAGGUUGAGUGGUCGUAAUCGUGUGCUCCAGCUAGUAACCCAUCUCUUUGGUCUCCUAUUCCAACCAAGACUGGUGGCCUCUCCUGGCUUGGAGGUCAGUCAGGUAGUCUGCGUGACCAUGAGCCAUGCGGGUACCACUGUGUCCUGUGGUGGCCACAUAUACUUUCCUGCUACCCCUAGAACUGUUGGACUUAUUGGCUUAUACGCCUUGUAGGGGUCCAUGGUGGGUGGGGUCAUAGGAGAGUGAAUUUUUAAGAUAUUUAUGUGGCCAAGGACAGGAGAGCUAGUAAUGCUGCUGGAAUUUAUGUUAAAGGAAUGGCCUAAUUAAAAUGAGAAAGCUUG